UACCGACCACUGCCUGUCUGACCCUGCUUGAACUCCACCUGUACUGACCCUGCUUUUCGUCUACUCCCUGAACUGUUGCCUUCUGUCCAAAAUCUUGGAAACGCACGCGCCCCUGUGCUCAUUCAGAAUAUCUGUUUCAGCUCCUCGCCACUUAUCCGGGCCUGCAGGCAAGGGUCAAAACCGGAAUCAAAACAAGACAGAAUCACACCCAGAUACUAACGAAUUAGAAGUGUGCAACAUGCAUGGCUUAGAAAAGCCCAGCACCAGAAGAGGAUGGCAGCACCACGCAGUGGGCAUCCCCGCCGGCCCACUAGACCACCGGGGUCAUGUGAAUAAUGCGUCAAACUGAAGCCUAAAAUGCUAAAGAAAUGUAAGGAGCCAUUAUAGAUUGCAGCAAGCCAAAGAGAGCAAAAAAUUUUCCAUUGGUUUCUUUUGUUUUCGGUAAACCAAAAGAAUAGAAUUAUAUCACUAUGGAUCUUGUUACAGAUUAAUAUCUUAUGUGUAAAACCUGUUUGCAAACUUUAUUUGAUGGAAUACAUAGACGAGAAGGAUGAGAUUGGACCAGUUAAUCAUUUUAUGGAAUUUGAUAACAUGGGACUGGGGAUACCAUUAUCAAGGCCCAGAGCCUCAGCCAACCAGACAAAAGCCAUCUUUGGCUAAAAGAACUUCGUACCAAAGAGUCAAGAGUCUCUGCUAGGGUUGGUUGGAGUCAAGAGCCUCAGCUAAAGACAAUGGUGUAAACAGGCAAAAUUCACCUUUUGGCUACAAAACUUUAUACCACCUAAAUCAAGAUCAUCUGCCGGGGUAUGCUGGUAUCAAGACCUAAAGCCUUAGCAAUGGACAAUGGUAUAAUAGGCAAAAUCCAUCUUUGGCUCCAAGAUGUUGAUACUAAGGCCAAGACAUUAAUCAAGACAUUCUGCCAGAAUCACUUCUUCCCUUGCCAUGUUUCAAGAAAAUAUGUGUAUACGGACGAAGGCUACAUUUCAGACGUACCUGCCAAACUCUCAGGCUCCCUGCUAAGCUUUGCAUGCGUAUACCGUGAACUGGAUGAAAAGCAAAGACUAAACGCGACACAUGGUUGUUCAGUCUGAUCAUUUGCACAAUGGGCCUCCAUUCCGCGUUCUGUCAUACGGCGCUGCUUUUGGAACGCUCAUGGAAUCCAUUACAUUUCCCGACAUCGUUGCUAGUAUGCCACCCGCUCUCUUUUACUUUUUUUUUUUCCUUUUAAAUUAUAUUAAAGAACCAGUUAAUUGUUGUUAAAUUCUGCUCCGCGUGGUUGAAUGAUGGAGCAAUUUUGUAGAAUGAUGUUGAAAUUGGCUGUG